UUUUCUAAGAGAACUCAUCCCUAAAAUACCUUCUCUCACAGCGAAGUCCCCUCUGAAUAUAAUUUUUAUUUGGUCUGCUCACCUGUCUGUCCUCCAAUCGUAGCAAACAGCCUAUGGGGAAUUCUGGAUGGGAUCUUCAGUCCAGCUCUUAUCUGGCUUGAUGCUGUUACCAAUUCCCUGGGGAGCCUGUUCCAGUGCCCAAAAUACGAGUUCAAGUCUAAACAGAGAAAAGAACUCAUCCCAGUCUUCUCUCAUCACCACUUCCAUGGAUGAAGGAUAAGAGGCAGUGUACAGUACACUGUACACUGUACCUUGUAGCUCAGGAUACCUUCACCUGUUUGCAGAUCU